rnacentral:rRNA from 1 species
GACGAACGCUGGCGGCGUGCCUAAUACAUGCAAGUAGAACGCUGAAGCUUGGUGCUUGCACCGAGCGGAUGAGUUGCGAACGGGUGAGUAACGCGUAGGUAACCUGCCUGGUAGCGGGGGAUAACUAUUGGAAACGAUAGCUAAUACCGCAUAAGAGUAGAUGUUGCAUGACAUUUGCUUAAAAGGUGCAAUUGCAUCACUACCAGAUGGACCUGCGUUGUAUUAGCUAGUUGGUGAGGUAACGGCUCACCAAGGCAACGAUACAUAGCCGACCUGAGAGGGUGAUCGGCCACACUGGGACUGAGACACGGCCCAGACUCCUACGGGAGGCAGCAGUAGGGAAUCUUGGGCAAUGGACGGAAGUCUGAGCGAGAAACGCCGCGGGAGGGAAGAAGGGUGUCGGAUCGUAAAGCUCUGUUGUAAGAGAAGAAAGAGUGUGAGAGUGGAAAGUUCACACUGUGACGGUAACUUAUCAGAAAGGGACGGCUAACUACGUG